rfam:Loxodonta africana unplaced genomic scaffold scaffold_32, whole genome shotgun sequence.
GAGGAUUCUCGACCUUUUGGCUAAGAUCAAAUGUAGUAUCUGUUUUGUCAGUUUAAUAUCAGAUACGUCCUCUAUCUGAAGAAAUAGAAAUUGUCUGUCAGUUUGUUGUACUGUGGUGGGUUACAUGUUGCUGUGAUGAUAGAAGCCAUGCCACUGGUAUUUCACAUACCAACAGGGU